rnacentral:rRNA from 1 species
GCNAGUCGACGAGAAAAUUUCCUUCGGGGAACUAGUAAAGUGGCGCAAGGGUGAGUAACACGUGAAUAAUCUGCCCUCGAGAUCGGGAUAACAUGGUGAAAACUAUGCUAAUACCGGAUAAGACCACAUUUCAAAAGAAAUGCGGGAAAAGAAGUCUCAACCUUNCACUCGAGGAUGAGUUCGCGCAACAUUAGCUUGUUGGUGGGAUAAAAGCUCACCAAGGCUACGAUGUUUAGCCGGCCUGAGAGGGUGAUCGGCCACACUGGAACUGAGACACGGUCCAGACUCCUACGGGAGGCAGCAGUGGGGAAUAUUGCGCAAUGGGCGAAAGCCUGACGCAGCAACGCCGUGUGAGCGAUGAAGGCUUUAGGGUCGUAAAGCUCUGUCAAAUGGGAAGAAUUAUGACGGUACCAUUAGAGGAAGCCCCGGCUAACUCCGUGCCAGCAGCCGCGGUAAUACGGAGGGGGCAAGCGUUGUUCGGAAUUAUUGGGCGUAAAGCGUAUGUAGGCGGCUAGGUAAGUCAGGCGUGCAAGCCCGUGGCUCAACCACGGAAUUGCGUUUGAAACUGCUUAGCUUGAGUACAGGAGAGGAAAGCGGAAUUCCCAGUGUAGCGGUGAAAUGCAUUGAUAUUGGGAAGAACAUCUGUGGCGAAGGCGGCUUUCUGGUCUGUUACUGACGCUGAGAUACGAAAGCCAGGGGAGCAAAGGGGAUUAGAUACCCCCGUAGUCCUGGCUGUAAACGAUGGGCACUAGGUGCAGGUGGUAUCGAUCCCCUCUGUGCNGUAGCUAACGCGUUAAG